rnacentral:lncRNA from 1 species
AGAAAACCCAUGUUCAAAAAAGAAGCUAAAAAAAAAGUUGGGGAAGGCCUAAGUCCAUAGACUAUAAUUUUGCCAUAUGUAACUUGGUCUCAGGAGGAGGCAAGUUUUAGUUUUCUUCCACUAGCUUUAGAUGUGCUAUUUUUUCCUGAGGUAUUAGGCAGGUAGCUAUGUUUUAAUCUUUACAGAAAUAGAAAUUUCAAACAUCUUUUUCCUUGAAGUCUUGACAGGAGGACUGGAACAUUUCUACCAAUCUCUAGGUUUGAAGUUAACAAAAAUAAGUAUAGAUAUCUGGUACGUAAUUCAGCAAAUGUUUGUUGAACGAAUGAAUAAACUCAUCAGAUCCUGUGUCGUGUGUGUGUGUGUGAGAGAGAGAGAGAGAUGCCAACACUCCUGGCAUUUUCUCCUUGUCUGCCUUGCACUGGAAAUCAUGAUCUAAACAUCACAGAUUUAAUUUUGUAGGGAUGUAGCUCUGGGUCUUCACUACCUUACUUUUGAGCUUCUUCUCAGAAAGCUUUCAAAACGUGUUUCUUUCGUUCUCCUACAUCUAUCCCAUAUAAUUCAUGUUCAUUGAUUUAUAGAUUUUUGCACAUACAAGACAUUCACAUUAAACCCAAGAAAAACAGACUCUUAAGAUGGCCCAUGGUUGCUAAGUUUCUUCAGAGAAAGUAUGUGAGGGUUAAAAGAGAUUGGGGUUCUAGUGUAUUUGGUAUUUCAGGUCUCAAAACAAGUCAUCAAAAUACAGACUUCCCAGCAGUUUGUCUCCCUUUUUUUCUUGAGUUUUUUAGAUAACUGGACGCUCUAUAUAAACACAUCUCCCUCAGCAAAGUACAUCCCGUUUUUUUCUCAAUAUGUAUUCAUAUUCCCUUCCUUCCUCCCUCUUUAUCAGACCCAUCUUUGCCUACCGUCUUUUAAGGAUUUAAAAUAUUCUCAUUAGAAGAUUUUCCUUCUGUAUGCAUAGAGGAUUUGUUUUUAUUCUAAAUGUAGAGAUUUUCUACUGUUAUAUGUCCUUCCAUUUGUAUUUUAUAGUUUUACAUCCUAAUAUUUAAAGAUAAAGUACUACUUUAAUUUUAGGCUCUAUUAUGUGAGUUCUCAACUCCAACUUCUUACUGCUCAUAAGAGGUACUAAUUAUAUUUAGUUCUUUAGUAUAUGUGUACUUUUUUCCUAUGGAUUAGCACUUUUUGAAUAAUUAGAAUUUUGGUUUUAGGAUGAUGCACUUAGCUUUUAAAGCUUAUAUAUUAAUUGUUCAAAUGUGAAUCUAUAUAAAGCAUAUUGGUGCAGCACAUUUUAAGAUUCUAGAAAACCACAAAAUCUGUUUAUUCAUGUUGAAACAUACAGAACAUAUUCUCCCUAGAUCAGAGUCAAACUUGUGGAGGUAUUUGUAGCAUUUUGGUAACACUCCCUAGAGAAUUUGUAGACUUUGGGGGUGCAUAUUAAGGGAUAACAUACAUGGCUUUUCAGAAUAUUUUCUGAAUAAAGCAGCUUCAGACACCAGAUUUUAGUUUUUGGAUUAGGAAAGAGUGAUGUGUUUUUCCACCCUCCCCUCCCCCACCAACACACACACACAUACCCUCCCCAUCUUUCAGAUAUAGGCCAUCUUGUUUUAUUGGAUGAGCCCCCCAAAAAUACACAGAAAUAUGCUAAAUAUUUCUGUAAACCUUGGAAAGGACUCUGCCAGGAUAUUUAUCUACUCUCCAAAAUAGUGAUUGUGGAAGUGUUUGUAUAGGUCCCUAGCUUUCUACUAAAGCCUAUUUCCAACCAGUCAUAGAUUUUUGUGUGUGUGUGUAUCUACAUGUUAACUAUCUUUGGUAUUCAUUGAGGCCUUUUUUGCUUAUUUAUGGUUAUUCUGCAUUGGCUAAAACAAUGAGUUGCUCUUAUUUGUUUCCAUGCUAUCGAUUUGAUGAUUUGUAAUUCUAGACUUUAAAAUUUAUCUAUAUCUUCACUUUUCUUAGAUCCAUCCUAAGCAGAUUCAUGAACUUUUCAUUAUACCUAUAUCAUAUUAAAAAUAUGAAACCAUAGUAUUCUAGAACUCGGAGGACUUGAAUUUGUUUCUCACAUGAAGAGUUUUUUUUUUUUUGGUAAAGAUUUCCAGGUAUUAAUAUCUUUGUUCUUUAAGAAGCUAGAAUUUUUUUGUGCAGUGUAGGUGCCUUUCUGUCCUUUAUUUAAGCCCCCCCCCCUUUUUAAAUUGUUUUUCAAGAAUUAAAUAAAAUUAGAAUUAUUUAUAGUAGUUGCGAAGCAGGAUAAGCAGUUUAAAAUCCUAUCACAAAAAAUACUACUGAAACAAAAAUAUCUUUGUUAACAAAUAUUUCCAGGUUGUAACAAUAUAAUAUUUGAUAUACGAAUAUUCUACUUCCAUAGAAUUUGGGCAGUCUGUGAGAUUUUUACCUAUCAUGUUUUCCCUCUAAAGGGCAAUUAUAAAAACGCUAGAUUAUCUUCAGGUAUUAGGACUCCUCAUCAUUGGUUUCAGAUGUUAAUUGGCUACACCUUGAUAAAAGGCAGAUAAGUGUUAAUGGCAGUUGGCUGUGAUUUUAUAUUAAGUUUCUGCCUAUUUUAUAGCCAAGAACUUGUGCAUAUUUGUAUAUUGUUUGUUGAUAUUGAAUAUGGAAUUCAGAGAGAAAAUAAGAACUCAAAUUCUAAAUUACUCAGAUCUCCAUUAGGAAAACAGUGCCUGAGAAACACUUUUUCCCCCUUCUCAGGUACUGUAUAUCUUGCAGUUAGCAGUCUUCAUCUUGUAUAAUGCAAGCAGACUACAAACUCUGUAGCUGGGAGUGAAAAUUUGUUACUCAGUAUGAAGCAGUGAAUGAGACAAUUGAUUUUAUCGUGUGACACCUGUACCAACAUGUUAGCAGUAAAACUCCUCCCUACAUUAGAGAAUCUACAAUAAAAAGUUGCUACUAGGGAAUUGUUUUUGUUUUAACACAAGUUCUAGAUGUGCCCUACAUAUGUAAUGCUAUAAUGUCUACAUUAGAGCUAUUAUAAUGAAAUUAAGAGUUUGGUUAUAAUUAUCCUAAUUCCUUGAAAGGUUAAAUUGUGUUCACUAUACUUAAGUACCUAAAAAUGUUAGUUCUUUGGGAACAUGGAAACCAGGUAUAUAUAGCUUUUAGUAGUUAUUUCUACUUAUCUGAAGCCCUCCUUGGAUAAUAAUUUUUUUUUGUUUUCAUUUUUGAGACGUGGUCUCACUCUGUCACCCAGGCUGGACUGCAGUGGCGUCAUCUUGGCUCACUGCAACCUCCGCCUCCCAAGUUCAAGUGAUUCUCCUGCCUCGGCCUCCAAGUAGCUGGGACUACAGGGAGAAGAUGGGUAUAGUUUAACCCUUUCAUAUCAUCCAUCCAUCCAUUCCUACUAGUUCUGCCUCAGAGUAUAUCCUUUAUUCAACUACUACUCACCACCCUAUUAGGCCAUCAUUAUCUAUCACUGGCCUCCUAAUGCAUUUUCCUGCUUUCGUUUUAUACCCUCUUUAGCCCAUUCCUCAUGGAGUAGCUAGGACCUUUAAAAAAAAAAAAAAGCCAAAUUAAGUUACUCUUAAGCUUCGCCUAAAUCCUCUCUUGAUUUCCCGUCUAACAAAGAAUAAAAUCCAAAGUCUCUCAGGCUCUCGAGGUGUACUAUAUGGUCUAGCCCCAACCAGUCUCUCUGACAUGAGUUCCUACCCUUCACCACCUAAGUUCAUGCUGCCUGAGCCAUACCAGUGAGGGGUUUACUGACCCUCUGAACUGACUGCUUUUCCUUCAAGCAUUUGCCUGGUCAGUUACUUCUCUGCUUGUUUUCAUCUCAGUUUUAUGUUCCCUGAUUAUUUUUAAAUACUUCCUACCCUGUUCCAUCAUUCUAUGUAGAAUAAAGGACGGGCACUUUAAAAUUAAAUAAAUCUAGCUUUAUGAAAAACCUGUGUUGUCUUUUUCUCUUGUGAUUUUGCCAUGGAUUAGAAUUGUC